AUAUGGCAGCUAAGUUUGCAUACUCAACCAAGGCGGCGUUUCUGCUAGUCCUUUGCUUCGCCGUGGCGUGCAAUGCUGUACAGCGUGCAAGUUCUAAACACGCGUGUGCCUAUCCCCAAGCUUGCACCAAUCCUGGCAACCCGGACCCAGGCCACACAGUGACGACCACAGCCCGCUACAAUCCGGGAACGGGCCGGUGUGUGACCACAGCGUCAGUGACCGGUCCACACGACUGCCAGAGGUUCGCCACUUUGGCAGACUGUCAGCGGGAGUGCGGACAGUAAUGGCGGAUUAUUCGAGAACUGCCGAAGACGCCCUUCGAUUUUUUGAAUAAAUACACCGACUCUCAA